AACUUACAUCUAUGAACGCCAGGGAAUUACGAGCUACGCUUAAAACCCAAAGGAUUUGACGGUGUCCCACCCACCUAGAGGAGCCUGUUCUAUAAUCGAUAAUACCCGCUAUACCCAACCACCUCUUGCUAUUCAGUCUGUAUACCUCCGUCGAAAGCUUACCAUGUGAACGCCUACAGUGAGUACAAUUACCCCCAACGUCAACACGUCAGGUCAAGGUGCAGCUUAAGGGGUGGAAAGAAAUGGGCUACAAUUUCUAAUCUAGAACAAACGAAAGACUAUGUGAAAUCAUGGUACUGAAGGCGGAUUUAGCAGUAAAAAGAAAAUAGAGCGUUCUUUUUAACCUGGCUCUGGGACGCGUACACACCGCCCGUCAC
rnacentral:rRNA from 1 species